rnacentral:rRNA from 1 species
GGAAGUGGGAUGAUGUCAAGUCAGCAUGGCCUUUAUAUCCUGGGCUACACACACGCUACAAUGGCCAACACAAUAGGUUGCUAAGCCGCGAGGUGGCGCCAAUCCAUAAAGUUGGUCUCAGUUCAGAUUGUAGGCUGCAACCCGCCUGCAUGAAGAUGGAGUUGCUAGUAACCGCAGGUCAGCUAUACUGCGGUGAAUACGUUCCCGGGGCUU